GGCCUGGUAGUCUAGUAGUAUGAUGCUUCCUUCGGGUACAGGUGCAAAAUAAUUGCGAUCCCAUCGCGUUUGCGAUAUCACUGGAAGAGGUCCCGGGUUCAAUUCCCGGCCAGGCCC